rnacentral:rRNA from 1 species
GAUGAACGCUGGCGGCGUGCUUAACACAUGCAAGUCGAACGGAAAGGCCCUGCUUUUGUGGGGUGCUUGAGUGGCGCACGGGUGAGUAACACGUGAGUAUCCUCCCCUUGACUUUGGGAUAACUUCAGGAAACUGGGGCUAAUACCGGAUAGGAGCUCCUGCUGCAUGGUGGGGGUUGGAAAGUUUCGGCGGUUGGGGAUGGACUCGCGGCUUAUCUGCUUGUUGGUGUGGUAGUGGCUUACCAAGGCUUUGACGGGUAGCCGGCCUGAGAGGGUGACCGGGAACAGUGGGACUGAGAUACGGCACAGACUCGUAAGGGAGGCAGGAGUGGGGAGUAUUGCACAAUGGGGGGAAGCCGGAUGCAGCAACGCUGCGUGCGGGAUGACGGCCUUCGGGUUGAAAACAGUUUUCGCAGGUGACGAAGCGUGAGUGACGGUAAUGGAUAAAGAAGCACCGGCUAACUACGUG